AGUAAACAAACUGAAAUUGUUAUAACAUGUUGUCACUAGCCACUUGACUUGUAGGUUGAAAAGUUAGUGUUGAGCCCAGAGUUAAAAGCAAGAUGCUGCAGUAGAACUUGAUACCAAAAUAAUGAGUCCAAAGAAUAAGGAAAAAUUAAGAGUAAGAAAUGUAACACAGAUACUGUACAAAGUUUAAUUUGCGAGUUUCAUGAUAUUUUUUUUAAAGGUCCUUUCUAAUUUUGCACUUGUUGUGAUCAGUUGCUAAUUUAUAGACACAGUGUCUGUCUUGCUGAAUCAGUUAUUGUCCCCAGAAAUAACCAAGUAUUUACUGAACAAAACUAGCAUUUAGGAUAUUUAGGAUUGCUGUGUCUAACAUGUUACAGCUACUUUAAAAAAGUUAACUUCCCCCAUCUGCAGCAAUAAAUGGAUUACAAUUUCCAGAAAAUCCAUAAUUUUUUUAACUUAAACAAGUUAGAAUAUAGAUUGUUAGCACCAAGGCUUGUGUUUCAGAAGGUGAUGCAGGCACUGAGAGGAAAACAGCUGAAAAUCAGUUGAAAUAUUGUCAGUGAAACUACAGAUGUUAAUAAUACUGUAAACAUGUUAUCCAGGUUACCAAAUGAAAUGAGCUUAAUUAAAGUGAAGUAAAAGAAGUCUAUAGUAUAGAGCUCUGCCUUGUCUUUGAAAGUAAGACCUCAUUUGUUUAUUCAAGCAUCCAAAUAGCCUAAAGAUAAUAGCAUUUUAUAUAAAAGAGAGAGAAUGACACUAAGUCAGAGUGGUACCAUAACUCUUUGCAUGAAACUGAUACUGAACAAGAUCAAGGAGAUUCUGAUGAUGAUGCUAGUUUAUUCACAAACAGAAAUGAAAAUUUAAUAGAAAGUGAAGGUGAAAAUGAAGAUGACUGGAGUAAAGAUGAUGUAGAAAUACCUUAAGGAGUUUCGAAUACUUUUUUAACAGCUUCUGAUUUCUGGAUUACACAGAUCUUAAAAAUAUUUUAAAUGUUGCUCCUCAUGGAGAAGGUAAUACACCUCUUAGUAUAGUAAGGAUGCACAUUAUGAAGAAUUGGCGUAUCCAGGGAUAUUUCUAGGACAACCACAAAGUGAUAAUAAAAAGCAAAUUAUUGGUUAGUAUGUACUAUAGUGACAUUUGUAAAUCAGAAUUGUGAUCAUCAGAUCAAAGGACUGCUAGAUGUGUUGAAGAUAUAUUCUUCAAAACGAAAAAGUUGUAGAUGAAGAUUCUAUUAGGAAAGGCCUAAAUUGCUCCUAGGAAAUGUAUGCUCAAUAACAAAAAUCUAACUGCUGGAAAAUUGAAGCAACAGCUGGGUUCACUUGUUGAGGUAUGAAACAAUGCUUAAUCUGAUCUUUUAUUUGACAUUGAAGAAUUCAAGUUCAUGCAUGCACUCAAAACCCUCUAGGAUCUCUGAAAAUUUCAGAAAUGCAUUUGAGAAAUGUUAACAUAAUGGACUUAAAACCUAAAAUGUUUUCAUGAAAACCUGUAGAUCUUUUGUGUGGUAUGCAGGAAGGUUUCACUAUUUUUCACUGUCUGCUUUUAUUGGAGAGCUGAUAGAGAACCAAGCCAGCAUUCUAAGGUAUGUAGCUUCCACUUCAGAGAUGGAUUAAAAUCGGCGAGACCUGAAGUUUUUUGAGCGAAAUGCUCACAAACUGUUUCCUGCACAGGGAAAUCCUACUAAAAAAAAAAAGGAAACUUGAUUCAAAGCCUGGUGUAUCUGCAUUCUGUGACUUGGCAACUACUGAGGGAGAAAAAAUGACAGAGCAAAUGCAAAUGAGAGCAACUCCACUGAUCUAGUAAUACUGGAGGCUGAACUGGAGUUGACUCAACAAGAGCUAUAUUCUCAUCAAGAGACUAAGCAGUAUUAGAGGACACACUAUUCUGUUUCAAGUUUGAGUUCAGAAGUCAUUAGAGUGGAAACAGGGCUCCCUACCAAGGAGGUGUUUACCAUUUUAGUGGAAUAUACAGCUCAGUUUAAGGAAUCAAUUUCUUACUAUGCUGGGUGGAAAGUCAAGUCAAUGGUAUUUGACAAUCAAAUCUUUCUAACACUUAUGAAGUUGUGUCAAACUACACCAAUCUGCACCUGGCUCAACUAUUUUCUUGUAGCAGCAUUGCAACAAUUUCUAACAUUGCCACAACAUUCAUACAUGUCCUCCAUGGUCUGCUUUUUGAUGAUUUAAUGAAAACAAUCCCUUCAAGAAGCAAAGACAAGUUGUGUUCACCAUCAUCAUUUUCCGCCUACUCAAGUUGCAGAAUUAUCAUUGACUGUACUGACAUCAAAGUAGCAACACCCAGCCUUAUGUGUCAGCAAAAUGCAACCUACUCAAGUUACCAAGGGAUGAACUCAUUUAAAGUUUCAACAGGAGUAGCACCAAAUGGAGUACUGACCUAUGUUAGCAAUCUCUACCAUGUUUCAAUCUCUGGCAGAAGUAUCUUCUUCUCAGGCCCCCUCAAUUGUUAAGUUUCUUUGGGUGUGUGGGCACUUUGCCCCCAAAACACUGUCAUCUUCCACCAGGCGGUCUGGAGAAGCUCCAGGGAGUCCCGACUCGUCUAGCCAAACCCCAGUCUCCACCACCCGCAGGCCAGUUUUUGAUGUGAGUGCUUUCAGGGCUUCUGGCUCAUUUGUAACCCCACUGUACAGCUUUCACUCGUAAUAAGUCAUAGUCACCAAGAAGCCGUUUGAGAAGAGAGGGUGUGUCACGUUGCUGUACAAAGAACACUUUAGAACAUUAUAUUACUUUCUGUUUUCUUAAAAUGUAGCCUUGUUUCGUUUUGAUCAAGUUGCGUGAUUAUAAAUAUCCAUUUUGGCUAGCCGCACAAAGAGUUGUUUCAGUUUAGUUUCCUUUACGUCAUAGAAAUAUAUUAGGCCUUUUUUUACGCGAACGUUUUAGUUUUAAGGAGUUGUCCCUGGAGCAAAGAGGAGUUUUAUAGGAGUCUUUCGGAGUUUUUUCACAGCUUGGAGUUUUCUUAUGCCCGGAGUCAAGAUCAGACGUAAGUCACGAUCGUUAAGUUUCUAUUAGUUUUUAGUUGUGUUUCCUGUCUUCAGAUUUGCAAUUUAGCUCGUUUCCCUUACGUAAACAAAUCGUGCUUUCCUUUUAGUUUUCACCGCAAGUGUUGUAACAAGUCGGCUAGCCUGUUUACAUGAUUUAGUCCAAUAAACGUGUGUAAGAGUC
rnacentral:lncRNA from 1 species